CUACGGGUCGCAGCAGUGAGGAAUAUUGCACAAUGGGGGGAACCCUGAUGCAGCAACGCCGCGUGGAGGAUGACGCAUUUCGGUGUGUAAACUCCUUUUAUAUGUCAAGAAAAUGACGGUAGCAUAUGGAUAAGCACCGGCUAACUCCGUGCCAGCAGCCGCGGUAAUACGGAGGGUGCAAGCGUUACUCGGAAUCACUGGGCGUAAAGGACGCGUGGGCGGGUUGGAAAGUCAGGUGUGAGAUCCUACAGCUUAACUGUAGAACUGCACUUGAAACUUCUAAUCUAGAGUAUGGGAGGGGGAGAUGGAAUUAGUGGUGUAGGGGUAAAAUCCGUAGAUAUCACUAGGAAUACCUAAAGCGAAGGCGAUCUCCUGGAACAUUACUGACGCUAAGGCGUGAAAGCGUGGGGAGCAAACAGGAUUAGAUACCCCUGUAGUC
rnacentral:rRNA from 1 species